rnacentral:rRNA from 1 species
GGAUUUUAGAGAGCGGCGUACGGGUGCGGAACACGUGUGCAACCUUACCUUUAUCUGGAGGAUUAGCCUUUUCGAAAAGGAAGAUUUAAUACUCCAUAAUAUAUUGAUUGGCAUCAAUUAAUAUUGAAAGCUCCGGCGGAUAGAGAUGGGCACGCGCAAGAUUAGUUAGUUGGUGAGGUAACGGCUCACCAAGACGAUGAUCUUUAGGGGGCCUGAGAGGGUGAUCCCCACACUGGUACUGAGACACGGACCAGACUCCUACGGGAGGCAGCAGUGAGGAAUAUUGGACAAUGGGUGCAAGCCUGAUCCAGCCAUCCCGCGUGAAGGACGACUGCCUAUGGGUUGUAAACUUCUUUUGUAUAGGGAUAAACCUCUCCUCGUGAGGAGAGCUGAAGGUACUAUACGAAUAAGCACCGGCUAACUCCGUG